GCCACGAUCAACCAAAACCGAAACUAUAGGGAUAAAUUGUUAACUAAAGAGUCUUGUAAUUUGGAUCCGCAGAAGAACCAGAAUAAUGUUUCCAAGGAAGUAAAAUGGCCUCACAUUACCACACAGUGAAACCACAGUUUUCAGAAAACCAUGGCGAUAAUAUCGCAUUAGAGAAAGAUGGUGCCCAGAAUUGUUUUAAAGCCGAAUGGAAAUUUUUAAAAUCCUAUGGUUAUGCUUUCUCUGAUUUUCC